rnacentral:rRNA from 1 species
UAUGGACGAGAGUCUGAACCAGCCAGUAGCGUGAAGGAUGACUGCCCUAUNGGUUGUAAACUUCUUUUAUACGGGAAUAAAGUGAGGCACGCGUGCCUUUUUGUAUGUACCGUAUGAAUAAGGAUCGGCUAACUCCGUGCCAGCAGCCGCGGUAAUACGGAGGAUCCGAGCGUUAUCCGGAUUUAUUGGGUUUAAAGGGAGCGUAGGCGGACGCUUAAGUCAGUUGUGAAAGUUUGCGGCUCAACCGUAAAAUUGCAGUUGAUACUGGGUGUCUUGAGUACAGUAGAGGCAGGCGGAAUUCGUGGUGUAGCGGUGAAAUGCUUAGAUAUCACGAAGAACUCCGAUUGCGAAGGCAGCCUGCUAAGCUGCAACUGACAUUGAGGCUCGAAAGUGUGGGUAUCAAACAGGAUUAGAUACCCUGGUAGUCCAAGGGCGAAUUC